rnacentral:rRNA from 1 species
UACGUAGGGCGCAAGCGUUGUCCGGAAUUAUUGGGCGUAAAGAGCGCGUAGGCGGCCCGGAAAGUCGGAUGUGAAAACCCGGGGCUCAACCCCGGGCCUGCAUCCGAUACUCCCGGGCUGGAGGCAGGUAGGGGAGAUCGGAAUUCCUGGUGUAGCGGUGAAAUGCGCAGAUAUCAGGAGGAACACCGGUGGCGAAGGCGGCCUUCUGGACCAAUACUGACGCUCAUGCACGAAAGCGUGGGGAGCAAACAGG